UACGUAGGGUGCAAGCGUUGUCCGGAUUUAUUGGGCGUAAAGAGCUCGUAGGCGGUCUGUCGCGUCGAAUGUGAAAGCCCAGGGCUCAACCCUGGGUCUGCAUUCGAUACGGGCAGACUAGAGUAUGGCAGGGGAGACUGGAAUUCCUGGUGUAGCGGUGAAAUGCGCAGAUAUCAGGAGGAACACCGGUGGCGAAGGCGGGUCUCUGGGCCGUAACUGACGCUGAGGAGCGAAAGCGUGGGGAGCGAACAGG
rnacentral:rRNA from 1 species